rnacentral:rRNA from 1 species
ACGAACGCUGGCGGCGUGCCUUAAACACAUGCAAGUCGAGGCGGAAAGGCCCCUUCGGGGGGUACUCGAGCGGCGAACGGUGGAGUAACGACGUGGUAAUCUGCCCAGGACACAGGAACAACCAGUGGGAAACGCUGGCUAAUGCCUGAUGAAGUGCCGGCCUCUCGGGGCUGUCACACAAAGGUAGCUUCGGCCUCCGGUCCUGGAUGAGCCGCGGCCCAUUAGCUUGUUGGCGUGGUAACGGCCCACCAAGGCGUCGAUGGGUAGCUGGUCUGAGAGGACGAUCAGCCACACUGGGACUGAGACACGGCCCAGACUCCUACGGGACCCCGGCAGCAGUGGGAAUCUUGCGCCAGGGCGAAGCCUGACGCCAGCAACCGCCAGCGUGCGGGAAGACAGAGGCCUUCGGGUUGUACACACGGCGCUUUCCAGCAGGGACGAAGGCGGAGCGGGUUAAUAGCUCCGUCAGUUGACUGUACCUGCAGAAGAAGGUCCGGCUAACUACUGGCCAGCAGCCGCGGUAAUACGUAGGGACCGAGCGUUGUCCGGAAUCAUUGGGCGUAAAGAGCGUGUAGGCGGCUAUUUAAGGUCCUGCGUGAAAUCCCUGCGGCUCAACCGCCAGACGGUCGUGGGAAACUGGAUGGCUAGAGAGUGCGGGAGAGGAGAGUGGAAUUCCCGGUGUAGCGGUGAAAUAUGCGCGAGUAUCGCGGAAGAACACCCUGUGGCGACAGGCGGCUCUCUGGGAAACGCAAACUGACGCUGAGACGCGAAAGCGUUGGGGAGCCAACAGGAUUAGAUACCCUGGUAGUACCACGCCGUAAACGAUGGACGCUAGGCGUGGGCGGUGUCGACUCCGUCCCGUGCCGAGCUAAUCGCAUUAAGCGGUCCCGCCUGGGGAGUACGGCCGCAAGCUAAAACUCAAAGGAAUUGACGGGACCCGCACAAGCAGCGGAGCAUGUUGUUUAACUUCGAUGCGACGCGAAGAACCUUAACCUGGGGCUUGACAUGCGCCUGUAUAUCUCGGGAAACCGAGCCCCUCUUCGGAGCGGGUGCACAGGUGGUGCAUGGCUGUCGUCAGCUCGUGUCGUGAGAUGUUGGUGUAAGUCCCGCAACGAGCGCAACCCCUGUCCUGUGUUGCCAGCGGUUCGGCCGGGAACUCACAGGAAACACUGCCGGUGCCAAACCGGAGGAGGGUGGGGAUGAGGUCAAGUCAUCAUGCCCCUUAUGUCCAGGGGCUACAACGUGCUACAAUGGCCUGGUAUCAGAGUGGCUGCGGAAGGCCGCGAGGCGGAGCGAAUCCCCAAAAAGCCGGUCCCAGUUCGGAUUGGAGGCUGAAACUCGCCUCCAUGAAGUCGGAGUUGCUAGUAAUCGCGGAUCAGCAACGGCGCGCAGUGAAUACGUUCCCGGGUCUUGUAUCACACCGCCCGUCACACCACGAAAAGCCGGACAACACCCGAAGUCCGUGAGCCAACCCGCAAGGGGAGGCAGCGGCCGAAGGGUGGAGUUGGUGAUUGGGGUG